rnacentral:tRNA from 1 species
GGAGGGGUGCCUGAGUGGUUGAAAGGGACGGUUUUGAAAACCGUUGACGGGGUAACUCGUCCGUGGGUUCGAAUCCCACCUCCUCCG